CAGAAUUCUGUAGCAAUAGCCUGGACCUCGAAAUGCCAGGAAGAAGUGCCUUGUGCCUCCUGCCAUGAUUCUGAGGCCUCCUCAGCCAUGUGGUACUGUAAGUCCAAUUAAACUUCUUUUCCUUCCCAGUCUUGGGUACAUCUUUAUCAGCAGCACGAAAAUGGACUAAUACACUUGCCUUUUCUCUCUUCAGCGUUUUCAAGAUCUAUUGUUGAUAAUAUAUAAUAUCUUACAAGUUAUUUAAUUCUCUAAUGUAUGGGAAGCAGCGUAGCAUCGUCCUUGCUGUUGCUAUGGUAUUUAUUGCUGUUGAGCCUUCAGGAAACCUCUCUGCAUCUCGGUUUCCUCAUCUAUAAAAUGGAGAUGAUAACUGUACUUACAUCAUGGAGCUGCUAUGAGGAUCAAAGAAGUUAUCAACACUUCAGAAUAUGGCCAGCACAUAGGAACAAUAUAUCUAUUUGCUAAAUCGAAGGAUAAAAAGAAACCUACUUUGUAUGGAAAAGGAGAAAGAAAAGAGUAAGAUUGAACUAUGCUUUGCUGCAUGGUGGGUUUGAUGAAAGUGGAGUCACGCUGAUUGGUGCUCAAGAUAAAUGUCUUAGGGGAAGACUCAUACCCAGUGGAAUUUUUUUUAGUGAAAUAUCGUGGCUCAUGGACUGUGAGAUUUGUCAUUUGUUUUCAAUAAAAUGAUAAAAAUCAUAAUUUAUUUUGUGAAAAAGAAUUUCUAAUGGAAGCAGG
rnacentral:lncRNA from 1 species